ensembl:lncRNA
CCUCCUGUGGCCCCUGCUCUCUCUGGAUAUGCCCCUCCCUACCUUCGUGCCUCUUGAGAUGUGCAGUCUAGAAUUCUGCACAGAGAGGGGCAACCCCAUCUCCUACAUUUGAGACAUGUGUGGUCCAACAGCAGUAUAAGGAGGAAAGAAUGUCAAGGGCUGGGGCUUCUGGCUGUCAGGAGAUCUGGGUUCCAGUCUUGGCUGUAUCACCAGCUCACUUGAUAUGUGACCGUGGACAAGUCACUGCCCCUCUCUGAGCCUCAGUCUUCUCAUCCGACAAGUAUGAGAUAAGAGGAAGAAUCAUGUGCUCUAUGCCAGGAAGCCUCCAGGGAUCAAACCUGCACCCUCUGCACUGGAAGGAGAAGUCUUAACAACUGGAGCUCCUGGGAAGUCUCAAUCCAUCUAAGUUCAUAAACGAAAUCAGCUAUGCUCAAGCCGUGCUGGGGUACACAGCCAUUGUUUCCACCUGGGACAUCUUCACACGUCCAGCUUGCGCUAUGACUCCAGCUUGGCAAACCGCAUGCCUUGUCCUGAAAUAUCUCAUCCACAGAUGCUCCCAGCAAAGCCCCAGACCUUUCUUCAUGAGGAAGCUUUGGUCUGUGAAGAGACUGUGCAGAAGGUUACCCAGGAACCCAAUUUUAGCCAGGCAGACCCCAAGCCUGCUCCCUUUCUCACCUCAAGUUACAGCUAAGGCACAGGUGACGGCAAUGUUUUCAAGGUGUGUUUGCAGCUGAUAAGUCUGCUUGAUGGAAAUGGCUCCAUCUACCUGGGCAUCUGGUCUACCUCUCCAGAGUGGGUCUAUCUGGUGGGUGAUUGUGGGGCCAGGUCCCUGCCCUCCCCUAUGUCUGCUGUUACUAUUGUUGUCAUUAUCAUUCACACAAUAACC